rnacentral:rRNA from 1 species
CCUACGGGAGGCAGCAGUGGGGAAUCUUGCGCAAUGGGCGAAAGCCUGACGCAGCAACGCCGCGUGCGGGAUGAAGGCCUUCGGGCUGUAAACCGCUUUCAGCAGGAACGAAAAUGACGGUACCUGCAGAAGAAGGAGCGGCCAACUACGUGCCAGCAGCCGCGGUGACACGUAGGCUCCAAGCGUUGUCCGGAUUUAUUGGGCGUAAAGAGCUCGUAGGCGGUCUAGUAAGUCGGGUGUGAAAACUCUGGGCUCAACCCAGAGACGCCAUCCGAUACUGCUAUGACUUGAGUUCAGGAGGGGAGCGGGGAAUUCCUAGUGUAGCGGUGAAAUGCGCAGAUAUUAGGAGGAACACCGGUGGCGAAGGCGCCGCUCUGGACUGAAACUGACGCUGAGGAGCGAAAGCAUGGGUAGCAAACAGGAUUAGAUACCCUGGUAGUCCAUGCCGUAAACGGUGGGCACUAGGUGUGGGUUUCAACUAACGAAAUCCGCGCCGUCGCUAACGCAUUAAGUGCCCCGCCUGGGGAGUACGGUCGCAAGACUAAAACUCAAAGGAAUUGACGG